CGCACACCAGUUUCACUAUAUGCCAUUUCUAAGGCUCGAGAAAGGACCUGACAUUUUACCACCCCCACCCCCACCCCCAGAACUCCGAUUGCAUUUGAGUAUUGCUCAGAACAAAGGUGGGGGCAGGGAGGUAAUUGUUUGCUCUCUUGCAAGGUCACAAAUUUUUUUUUUAAAGACUAGUUUUGUUUUUCUUGCCAAUUAACUAAGAAAUAAAACUGUUUGACCCAUGGAAUUGAUUCAGACACAAAGCCAGAUUGCCUGACCCUUUCAGUUUGCAGUUUUCCCAACGCGUCGACUUUGGCCCUGGGGACAACACCCCUGGGGAACAGCACAUUUUCAAAGCCACCCUCCCAGGGGCCCCAGGCCCGGCGCUCUGAGCUUCCUCUGAGAGCCCCAGCUGGUCCGGGAAGGUGGGGGAUAUUAGGGGGCGCAGAGGAAGAAGGGCACCGCAACAGCUUGCGAAGGCCUCCACAAUGCUCCAGAUUUACGGGACCUUCUCGCUUGUACCAUAUUUCUUCCCUCCCCGGGGACGCUCUGUGCGAAGGACACGGGGUCACCUCGGCGCCCCCCUCCACCCCCGCCAGGGCCCGGGCCCACUCGCCCGGGUGGGAUGGCGCGCCCCCCGACUCGACUCCACCGCCGUCACUCCGACGCAGGUCAUCGCCCAGAGAGUGCUGACAGUGAUGGUGAUGGGGUUUGUUGUUGUUUUGUUUUAAUUCUCGAAAAGCCCGAAAUACUGCUUGGAAACGUCAGGUGGCGGCGGCUGCGGAAGCGUGGGCCGCGCGCAGCCUGGAGGUGGCCCCACCGUGUGCCCUGGGCCCCCCAGCCCCCUGCCCGCCGCCGGGUCCCGGGCUCCGGGCGUCAGGCGCUGGCGAUCGCGGCCCCGCAGCCCCGCGCCGACCCCGCGCGCCGCCGGCGGCCGCCAGCGCGGCGCGGAGGUGGGCGCGCGAAAGGUCACCGCGGUGGCAUUCCUCUCCGCGCGCUGUUUACGUGACUUAAUGUACUUCGUCCGCCGCGGCUUGUUAUCUAGGCCACCCAAUGACCGACGAAAGAUUUUCUCCCUCGCUGCUUCUCCCCAGGCCGCUUUAAACCAAAUAAAUUUAGCUAUUAAGGGCCAAGAUGUCUGACAAAAGAUCGAAAGGUGUCUCUCCGUGAUCGCUUAAAGAAGCGAAGGAGAAGCUUGCGGCUCCAUCUCGAUAAAGACAUUCCACACCGGCGCCGGCCUCCCUCCCCGCGGCCUGCUUGCCUCCCGACACCCUGACAGUCCCCACUUGGCGGCCCAGACCUCGGAUGGGCCGGGCGGGACCUGCGGCCGCUGCCCGGUCAAAGAGUGCCGGGCCCUAGGGACCCGGGAGAGCCGGGGACUCCAGGCCUGAGCUGGACUCCCCAAACGUGCCCUCCCCCGCCGCCCGCACUAGACUGAAGACCUAAAGCGAGCUCUUGCACGCUACGUCGCUUCAAUUAUGUCCGACUCUUUUGUGACCCUUUGGACUGUGGCCCGCCAGACUUCUCUGUCCACGGGAUUCUCCAGGCAAGAAUACUGGAGUGGGUUGUCAAUUCCUCCUUCAGGGGAUCUUCCGGACCCAGAGAUCGAACCCGGAGCUCCCGCAUUGCAGGCAGAUUCUUUACUGUCUGUGCCCCCAAUGAAGCCCCAAAUUAGCUCCCAUUUGAAUUAUUUGCUGAUGCUGAGUUUAUACUACAAAGCCAAACCACACCUAACCUCUCGCCCACUUCUGCGGUUUUGCUGGGGGGCAGUGUUACUCCGCAUCACUGGUCCUCCGAGGCAGACCUGUUGAACCCCAGUCAGAAUGUAGUGGGUGGAAGGGACCCGGCAUCUGGAUCACACGGAGGCUAAUGGGGAGGGUGUGGACGGCAGAACGACAGUGUGCACCUGAGAGGCAGCAGUCCAAAUAUUCAGGCAUCCCCAAGUUGAGUUGGGUUAUGAAGUGUGGGAUAUAUUAUUAUUAUUAUUAUUAUUAUUAAAUUACUGCUGUAAUCACUGCUUAAAGCCUUGGACUGCCAGCCAUGCUGAGGCCCGCCCCUGAGUGAUGCCUUCCCCUUCACCAAAGAUGAAGCAAAGAAUAUCCAAUUUCCUGAUCAAGGGCUGAAAACUGGGCUGUGCGGAGUCAGAUGCUGUGUUUUCAGUUUCCUUGCACUGAGUCGCUGCUUCAUCCCCUAAGUGAAUAAAGACUCCUCGUACUCCAGGUCCACAUAAGCCUUUUCUAACCUCUUUGAAAUGGGCUUCCCUGCUGGCUCAGCUGUAAAGAACCUGUCUGCCAAUACAGAAGUUGGACCAUAAAGAAGUCUGAGCACCAAAGAACUGAUACUUUCGAAUUGUGAUGCU